CACGUAGGGGGCAAGCGUUGUCCGGAUUUAUUGGGCGUAAAGAGCUCGUAGGUGGUUCGGUAAGUCAGGUGUGAAACCUCCAGGCUCAACCUGGAGACGCCACUUGAUACUGCUGUGACUGGAGUCCGGUAGGGGAGCGUGGAAUUCCUGGUGUAGCGGUGAAAUGCGCAGAUAUCAGGAGGAACACCGGUGGCGAAGGCGGGUCUCUGGGCCGGUACUGACGCUGAGACACGAAAGCGUGGGUAGCAAACAGG
rnacentral:rRNA from 1 species